CCUACGGGAGGCAGCAGUGGGGAAUAUUGCACAAUGGGGGGAACCCUGAUGCAGCGACGCCGCGUGAGUGAAGAAGUAUUUCGGUAUGUAAAGCUCUAUCAGCAGGGAAGAAAAUGACGGUACCUGACUAAGAAGCCCCGGCUAACUACGUGCCAGCAGCCGCGGUAAUACGUAGGGGGCAAGCGUUAUCCGGAUUUACUGGGUGUAAAGGGAGCGCAGACGGCUGUGCAAGUCUGGAGUGAAAGGCGGGGGCCCAACCCCCGGACUGCUCUGGAAACUGUAAAGCUGGAGUGCAGGAGAGGUAAGCGGAAUUCCUAGUGUAGCGGUGAAAUGCGGAGAUAUUAGGAGGAACACCAGUGGCGAAGGCGGCUUACUGGACUGCAACUGACGUUGAGGCUCGAAAGCGUGGGGAGCAAACAGGAUUAGAUACCCGAGUAGUC
rnacentral:rRNA from 1 species